UACGUAGGGUGCAAGCGUUGUCCGGAAUCAUUGGGCGUAAAGCGCGUGUAGGCGGCUUGGUAAGUCCGCUCUGAAAGCCCGGGGCUCAACCCCGGGAGGCGGGUGGAUACUGUCAAGCUCGAGUCCGGAAGAGGCGAGUGGAAUUCCUGGUGUAGCGGUGAAAUGCGCAGACAUCAGGAGGAACACCAAUGGCGAAGGCAGCUCGCUGGGACGUGACUGACGCUGAGACGCGAAAGCGUGGGGAGCAAACAGG
rnacentral:rRNA from 1 species